rnacentral:rRNA from 1 species
AUGUGGCCCCUCUGCUUCAUCUCCGACAGGCUGUUCAGGGUGCCGGGAGACGACGCCGGCGACGGCGACGGCCCGGGCGCGCCGCCGCCCCCCGACGGCCGAAUCCCGCUAGCACGCCGAUCCUACUUCAUCGAUGUCCCUCACGUGCAGCAGGCCUUCACCUGGGACUGCGGCCUCGCUUGCGUGCUCAUGGUGCUCAGGACCCUGGGCCUUGAUUGCUGCCACGGCAUUGCCGAACUCGAGAAGCUCUGCCGCACCACAAGCGUCUGGACAGUCGACUUAGCAUAUCUGUUACACAAGUUUUCAGUUAAUUUUUCGUUCUUUACUGUGACUAUUGGAGCAAAUCCGCAGUAUUCUGCAGAAACCUUUUAUAGGGAGCAAUUGCAAGAAGACAUUGACAGAGUUGAUGAGCUGUUUGGCAAAGCACUUGAUGCUGGAAUCAGUAUUCAACGCAGAUCCAUCAGUGCGUAUGAUAUUGCUUUUCUAAUCUUAUCUGGGCACUGCAUUGCAAUUGCUCUAGUGGAUAAAUCAAAGUUAAAUUCCUCUUGGAUGAAUGAUGUGCAUGAUAUGCAACAGUUUGACGAGGAUUCAGAUUACAUGGGGCAUUAUGUUGUAAUAUGUGGCUAUGAUGCCGAUGCUUGCGAGUUUGAGAUAAGGGAUCCAGCCAGUUCUAGAAAGCGUGAAAUGGUGCCCAUGAAAAGUUUAGAUGAGGCCCGCAAAUCCUUUGGAACCGAUGAGGACAUUCUUUUGGUGUCCUUGACUGGAAAAAACGGGACGAAGUUGUCGCAUAAACUCCCGGUCGGCUCUCCAUAG